rnacentral:rRNA from 1 species
UGGAUUAGGCAUGCAAGUCGAGCGGAAAGGCCCCUUCGGGGGUACUCGAGCGGCGAACGGGUGAGUAACACGUGAGCAACCUGUCCUCGACUCUGGGAUAAGCCUGGGAAACCGGGUCUAAUACCGGAUAUGACCUGUCUCCGCAUGGGGGCGGGUGGAAAGGUGCCCUUCGGGGUUUUCCGGUCGGGGGUGGGCUCGCGGCCUAUCAGCUUGUUGGUGGGGUAGCGGCCUACCAAGGCGACGACGGGUAGCCGGCCUGAGAGGGCGACCGGCCACACUGGGACUGAGACACGGCCCAGACUCCUACGGGAGGCAGCAGUGGGGAAUAUUGUGCAAUGGGCGAAAGCCUGACGCAGCGACGCCGCGUGGGGGAUGAAGGCCUUCGGGUUGUAAACCUCUUUCGGCAGGGACGAAGUUGACGUGUACCUGCGGAAGAAGCGCCGGCUAACUACGUGCCAGCAGCCGCGGUAAUACGUAGGGCGCGAGCGUUGUCCGGAAUUAUUGGGCGUAAAGAGCUCGUAGGCGGCUGGUCGCGUCUGCCGUGAAAGCCUGCGGCUUAACCGUGGGUCUGCGGUGGAUACGGGCCGGCUUGAGGUAGGCAGGGGCAAGCGGAAUUCCUGGUGUAGCGGUGAAAUGCGCAGAUAUCAGGAGGAACACCGGUGGCGAAGGCGGCUUACUGGGCCUUACCUGACGCUGAGGAGCGAAAGCGUGGGGAGCGAACAGGAUUAGAUACCCUGGUAGUCCACGCCGUAAACGUUGGGCACUAAGUAGAGGGGUUUU